rnacentral:rRNA from 1 species
CAGCAGCCGCGGUAAUACGUAGGGGCCAAGCGUUGUCCGGAAUCAUUGGGCGUAAAGGGAGUGUAGGCGGUCUUGUAAGUCAGAUGUAAAAUCUGCGGGCUCAACCCGUAGCCGCAUUUGAUACUGCUUGACUAGAGAAUGGUAGAGGUAAGCGGAAUUUCCGGUGUAGCGGUGAAAUGCGUAGAUAUCGGAAAGAACACCAGUGGCGAAGGCGGCUUACUGGGCCAUUUCUGACGUUGAGACUCGAAAGCUAGGGGAGCAAACGGGAUUAGAUACCCCGGUAGUCCUAGCCCUAAACGAUGUUCACUAGGUGUUAAAGGUAUCGACCCCUUUAGUGCCGUAGCUAACGCGUUAAGUGAACCGCCUGGGGAAUACGACCGCAAGGUUAAAACUCAAAAGAAUUGACGGGGGCCCGCACAAGUGGUGGAGCAUGUGGUUCAAUUCGAUGCUACGCGAAGAACCUUACCUGGGUUUGACAUGCUAGUAGUAGAAACCCGAAAGGGCAACGAUCUAGAUUUAUCUAGAAGCUAGCACAGGUGCUGCAUGGCUGUCGUCAGUUCGUGUCGUGAGAUGUUUGGUUAAGUCCAACAACGAACGCAACCCCCAUUGUUAGUUGACAUCAUUAAGUUGGUCACUCUAGCGAAACUGCCCGGAAUGACCGGGAGGAAGGUGGGGAUGAGGUCAAGUCAUCAUGGCCCUUAUGUCCAGGGCAACACACGUGCUACAAUGCCGCGUACAGAGGGGUGCAAAUCCGUAAGGAUGAGCAAAUCCCACAAAGCGCGGCUCAGUUCGGAUUGAGGGCUGCAAUUCGCCCUCAUGAAGCUGGAAUCACUAGUAACCGCAGAUCAGAGCGCUGCGGUGAAUACGUUCUCGGGCCUUGUACACACCGCCCGUCACACCAUGGAAAUCAGAAACACCCAAAGUCCCCGAUUUAUCGAGGAUUAAGGUGGAGCUGGUGACUGGGGUGAAGUCGUAACAAGGUAACCGUA